GGCGGGGGCGGCAUGCUCAUACAUGCAAGUCGAGCGGUAGCACAGAGAGCUUGCUCUCGGGUGACGAGCGGCGGACGGGUGAGUAAUGUCUGGGAAACUGCCUGAUGGAGGGGGAUAACUACUGGAAACGGUAGCUAAUACCGCAUAACGUCGCAAGACCAAAGUGGGGGACCUUCGGGCCUCAUGCCAUCAGAUGUGCCCAGAUGGGAUUAGCUAGUAGGUGGGGUAACGGCUCACCUAGGCGACGAUCCCUAGCUGGUCUGAGAGGAUGACCAGCCACACUGGAACUGAGACACGGUCCAGACUCCUACGGGAGGCAGCAGUGGGGAAUAUUGCACAAUGGGCGCAAGCCUGAUGCAGCCAUGCCGCGUGUGUGAAGAAGGCCUUCGGGUUGUAAAGCACUUUCAGCGGGGAGGAAGGCGUUGAGGUUAAUAACCUUGGCGAUUGACGUUACCCGCAGAAGAAGCACCGGCUAACUCCGUGCCAGCAGCCGCGGUAAUACGGAGGGUGCAAGCGUUAAUCGGAAUUACUGGGCGUAAAGCGCACGCAGGCGGUCUGUCAAGUCGGAUGUGAAAUCCCCGGGCUCAACCUGGGAACUGCAUUCGAAACUGGCAGGCUAGAGUCUUGUAGAGGGGGGUAGAAUUCCAGGUGUAGCGGUGAAAUGCGUAGAGAUCUGGAGGAAUACCGGUGGCGAAGGCGGCCCCCUGGACAAAGACUGACGCUCAGGUGCGAAAGCGUGGGGAGCAAACAGGAUUAGAUACCCUGGUAGUCCACGCCGUAAACGAUGUCGAUUUGGAGGUUGUGCCCUUGAGGCGUGGCUUCCGGAGCUAACGCGUUAAAUCGACCGCCUGGGGAGUACGGCCGCAAGGUUAAAACUCAAAUGAAUUGACGGGGGCCCGCACAAGCGGUGGAGCAUGUGGUUUAAUUCGAUGCAACGCGAAGAACCUUACCUGGUCUUGACAUCCACAGAACUUUCCAGAGAUGCUUUGGUGCCUUCGGGAACUGUGAGACAGGUGCUGCAUGGCUGUCGUCAGCUCGUGUUGUGAAAUGUUGGGUUAAGUCCCGCAACGAGCGCAACCCUUAUUCUUUGUUGCCAG
rnacentral:rRNA from 1 species